rnacentral:rRNA from 1 species
CGUACAUCCAGCGAACUUGGCAGAGAUGCCUUGGUGCCUUCGGGAACGCUGAGACAGGUGCUGCAUGGCUGUCGUCAGCUCGUGUUGUGAAAUGUUGGGUUAAGUCCCGCAACGAGCGCAACCCUUAUCCUUUGUUGCCAGCGAUUCGGUCGGGAACUCAAAGGAGACUGCCGGUGAUAAACCGGAGGAAGGUGGGGAUGACGUCAAGUCAUCAUGGCCCUUACGAGUAGGGCUACACACGUGCUACAAUGGCGCAUACAAAGAGAAGCGACCUCGCGAGAGCAAGCGGACCUCAUAAAGUGCGUCGUAGUCCGGAUCGGAGUCUGCAACUCGACUCCGUGAAGUCGGAAUCGCUAGUAAUCGUGGAUCAGAAUGCCACGGUGAAUACGUUCCCGGGCCUUGUACACACCGCCCGUCACACCAUGGGAGUGGGUUGCAAAAGAAGUAGGUAGCUUAACCUUCGGGAGGGCGCUUACCACUUUGUGAUUCAUGACUGGGGUGAAGUCGUAACAAGGUAGGCGUAGCGAG